AGACCAACUAAGUUUGUUAUUGGUAUGAGCUUUCGUGCUCAUACCAGUAACAAACUUAGUUGGUCU